rnacentral:rRNA from 1 species
AACGAACGCUGGCGGCAGGCCUAACACAUGCAAGUCGAGCGCCCCGCAAGGGGAGCGGCGGACGGGUGAGUAACGCGUGGGAACGUACCCUUUGCUACGGAAUAGCCUCGGGAAACUGGGAGUAAUACCGUAUGUGCCCUUCGGGGGAAAGAUUUAUCGGCAAAGGAUCGGCCCGCGUUGGAUUAGGUAGUUGGUGGGGUAAUGGCCUACCAAGCCGACGAUCCAUAGCUGGUUUGAGAGGAUGAUCAGCCACACUGGGACUGAGACACGGCCCAGACUCCUACGGGAGGCAGCAGUGGGGAAUCUUAGACAAUGGGCGCAAGCCUGAUCUAGCCAUGCCGCGUGAGCGAUGAAGGCCUUAGGGUUGUAAAGCUCUUUCAGUGGGGAAGAUAAUGACUGUACCCACAGAAGAAGCCCCGGCUAACUCCGUGCCAGCCGCCGCCGUAAAAC